UUAAGCGACUAAGCGUACACGGUGGAUGCCCUGGCAGUCAGAGGCGAUGAAGGACGUGCUAAUCUGCGAUAAGCGUCGGUGAGGUGAUAUGAACCGUUAUAACCGGCGAUUUCCGAAUGGGGAAACCCAGUGUGUUUCGACACACUAUCAUUAACUGAAUCCAUAGGUUAAUGAGGCGAACCGGGGGAACUGAAACAUCUAAGUACCCCGAGGAAAAGAAAUCAACCGAGAUUCCCCCAGUAGCGGCGAGCGAACGGGGAGGAGCCCAGAGCCUGAAUCAGUGUGUGUGUUAGUGGAAGCGUCUGGAAAGGCGCGCGAUACAGGGUGACAGCCCCGUACACAAAAAUGCACAUAUUGUGAGCUCGAUGAGUAGGGCGGGACACGUGGUAUCCUGUCUGAAUAUGGGGGGACCAUCCUCCAAGGCUAAAUACUCCUGACUGACCGAUAGUGAACCAGUACCGUGAGGGAAAGGCGAAAAGAACCCCGGCGAGGGGAGUGAAAAAGAACCUGAAACCGUGUACGUACAAGCAGUGGGAGCCUCUUAAUGGGGUGACUGCGUACCUUUUGUAUAAUGGGUCAGCGACUUAUAUUCUGUAGCAAGGUUAACCGAAUAGGGGAGCCGAAGGGAAACCGAGUCUUAACUGGGCGUUAAGUUGCAGGGUAUAGACCCGAAACCCGGUGAUCUAGCCAUGGGCAGGUUGAAGGUUGGGUAACACUAACUGGAGGACCGAACCGACUAAUGUUGAAAAAUUAGCGGAUGACUUGUGGCUGGGGGUGAAAGGCCAAUCAAACCGGGAGAUAGCUGGUUCUCCCCGAAAGCUAUUUAGGUAGCGCCUCGUGAAUUCAUCUCCGGGGGUAGAGCACUGUUUCGGCAAGGGGGUCAUCCCGACUUACCAACCCGAUGCAAACUGCGAAUACCGGAGAAUGUUAUCACGGGAGACACACGGCGGGUGCUAACGUCCGUCGUGAAGAGGGAAACAACCCAGACCGCCAGCUAAGGUCCCAAAGUCAUGGUUAAGUGGGAAACGAUGUGGGAAGGCCCAGACAGCCAGGAUGUUGGCUUAGAAGCAGCCAUCAUUUAAAGAAAGCGUAAUAGCUCACUGGUCGAGUCGGCCUGCGCGGAAGAUGUAACGGGGCUAAACCAUGCACCGAAGCUGCGGCAGCGACGCUUAUGCGUUGUUGGGUAGGGGAGCGUUCUGUAAGCCUGUGAAGGUGGCCUGUGAGGGUUGCUGGAGGUAUCAGAAGUGCGAAUGCUGACAUAAGUAACGAUAAAGCGGGUGAAAAGCCCGCUCGCCGGAAGACCAAGGGUUCCUGUCCAACGUUAAUCGGGGCAGGGUGAGUCGACCCCUAAGGCGAGGCCGAAAGGCGUAGUCGAUGGGAAACAGGUUAAUAUUCCUGUACUUGGUGUUACUGCGAAGGGGGGACGGAGAAGGCUAUGUUGGCCGGGCGACGGUUGUCCCGGUUUAAGCGUGUAGGCUGGUUUUCCAGGCAAAUCCGGAAAACCAAGGCUGAGGCGUGAUGACGAGGCACUACGGUGCUGAAGCGACAAAUGCCCUGCUUCCAGGAAAAGCCUCUAAGCAUCAGGUAACAUCAAAUCGUACCCCAAACCGACACAGGUGGUCAGGUAGAGAAUACCAAGGCGCUUGAGAGAACUCGGGUGAAGGAACUAGGCAAAAUGGUGCCGUAACUUCGGGAGAAGGCACGCUGAUAUGUAGGUGAAGCGACUUGCUCGUGGAGCUGAAAUCAGUCGAAGAUACCAGCUGGCUGCAACUGUUUAUUAAAAACACAGCACUGUGCAAACACGAAAGUGGACGUAUACGGUGUGACGCCUGCCCGGUGCCGGAAGGUUAAUUGAUGGGGUUAGCGGUAACGCGAAGCUCUUGAUCGAAGCCCCGGUAAACGGCGGCCGUAACUAUAACGGUCCUAAGGUAGCGAAAUUCCUUGUCGGGUAAGUUCCGACCUGCACGAAUGGCGUAAUGAUGGCCAGGCUGUCUCCACCCGAGACUCAGUGAAAUUGAACUCGCUGUGAAGAUGCAGUGUACCCGCGGCAAGACGGAAAGACCCCGUGAACCUUUACUAUAGCUUGACACUGAACAUUGAGCCUUGAUGUGUAGGAUAGGUGGGAGGCUUUGAAGUGUGGACGCCAGUCUGCAUGGAGCCGACCUUGAAAUACCACCCUUUAAUGUUUGAUGUUCUAACGUGGGCCCCCCUAAUCGGGGUUGCGGACAGUGUCUGGUGGGUAGUUUGACUGGGGCGGUCUCCUCCUAAAGAGUAACGGAGGAGCACGAAGGUUGGCUAAUCCUGGUCGGACAUCAGGAGGUUAGUGCAAUGGCAUAAGCCAGCUUGACUGCGAGCGUGACGGCGCGAGCAGGUGCGAAAGCAGGUCAUAGUGAUCCGGUGGUUCUGAAAUGGAAGGGCCAUCGCUCAACGGAUAAAAGGUACUCCGGGGAUAACAGGCUGAUACCGCCCAAGAGUUCAUAUCGACGGCGGUGUUUGGCACCUCGAUGUCGGCUCAUCACAUCCUGGGGCUGAAGUAGGUCCCAAGGGUAUGGCUGUUCGCCAUUUAAAGUGGUACGCGAGCUGGGUUUAGAACGUCGUGAGACAGUUCGGUCCCUAUCUGCCGUGGGCGCUGGAGAACUGAGGGGGGCUGCUCCUAGUACGAGAGGACCGGAGUGGACGCAUCACUGGUGUUCGGGUUGUCAUGCCAAUGGCACUGCCCGGUAGCUAAAUGCGGAAGAGAUAAGUGCUGAAAGCAUCUAAGCACGAAACUUGCCCCGAGAUGAGUUCUCCCUGAGACUUAGAGUCUCCUGAAGGAACGUUGAAGACGACGACGUUGAUAGGCCGGGUGUGUAAGCGCAGCGAUGCGUUGAGCUAACCGGUACUAAUGAACCGUGAGGCUUAACCUU
rnacentral:rRNA from 1 species